CUUGGUCAUUUAGAGGAAGUAAAAGUCGUAACAAGGUUUCCGUAGGUGAACCUGCGGAAGGAUCAUUACCUAGAGUUGUAGGCUUUGCCUGCUAUCUCUUACCCAUGUCUUUUGAGUACCUUCGUUUCCUCGGCGGGUCCGCCCGCCGAUUGGACAAUUUAAACCAUUUGCAGUUGCAAUCAGCGUCUGAAAAAACUUAAUAGUUACAACUUUCAACAACGGAUCUCUUGGUUCUGGCAUCGAUGAAGAACGCAGCGAAAUGCGAUAAGUAGUGUGAAUUGCAGAAUUCAGUGAAUCAUCGAAUCUUUGAACGCACAUUGCGCCCCUUGGUAUUCCAUGGGGCAUGCCUGUUCGAGCGUCAUUUGUACCUUCAAGCUCUGCUUGGUGUUGGGUGUUUGUCUCGCCUCUGCGCGUAGACUCGCCUCAAAACAAUUGGCAGCCGGCGUAUUGAUUUCGGAGCGCAGUACAUCUCGCGCUUUGCACUCAUAACGACGACGUCUAAAAGUACAUUUUUACACUCUUGACCUCGGAUCAGGUAGGGAUACCCGCUGAACUUAAGCAUAUCAAUAAGCGGAGGAAAAGAAACCAACAGGGAUUGCCCUAGUAACGGCGAGUGAAGCGGCAACAGCUCAAAUUUGAAAUCUGGCGUCUUCGGCGUCCGAGUUGUAAUUUGCAGAGGGCGCUUUGGCAUUGGCAGCGGUCCAAGUUCCUUGGAACAGGACGUCACAGAGGGUGAGAAUCCCGUACGUGGUCGCUAGCCUUUACCGUGUAAAGCCCCUUCGACGAGUCGAGUUGUUUGGGAAU
rnacentral:sRNA from 1 species